GAUGAACGCUGGCGGCGUGCCUAAUACAUGCAAGUCGAGCGAACGGAUGAGAAGCUUGCUUCUCUGAUGUUAGCGGCGGACGGGUGAGUAACACGUGGAUAACCUACCUAUAAGACUGGGAUAACUUCGGGAAACCGGAGCUAAUACCGGAUAAUAUUUUGAACCGCAUGGUUCAAAAGUGAAAGACGGUCUUGCUGUCACUUAUAGAUGGAUCCGCGCUGCAUUAGCUAGUUGGUAAGGUAACGGCUUACCAAGGCAACGAUGCAUAGCCGACCUGAGAGGGUGAUCGGCCACACUGGAACUGAGACACGGUCCAGACUCCUACGGGAGGCAGCAGUAGGGAAUCUUCCGCAAAGGGCGAAAGCCUGGCGGAGCAACGCCGCGUGAGUGAUGAAGGUCUUCGGAUCGUAAAACUCUGUUAUUAGGGAAGAACAUAUGUGUAAGUAACUGUGCACAUCUUGACGGUACCUAAUCAGAAAGCCACGGCUAACUACGUG
rnacentral:rRNA from 1 species